rnacentral:rRNA from 1 species
GACGAACGUUGGCGGCGUGCUUAAUACAUGCAAGUCAACUGAAGCAGUGGUAGCAAUAUCGCUGUGGAGGUGGCGCACGGGUGAGUAACACGUAGGUAAUCUGCCUUCAGGUCUGGCAUAACUCCGGGAAACCGGGGCUAAUAGCAGAUGAUGCAGCGGCUCGACAUCGAGACAGCUGUUAAAGCUAUGGCGCCUGAAGAUGAGCCUGCGUCUGAUUAGCUAGUUGGCGGGGUAACGGCCCACCAAGGCAACGAUCAGUAGCUGGUCUGAGAGGAUGAUCAGGCACACUGGAACUGAGACACGGUCCAGACUCCUACGGGAGGCAGCAGUAAGGAAUAUUGCUCAAUGGGAGAAAUCCUGAAGCAGCAACGCCGCGUGAGGGACGAAGGGCUUUUGCUUGUAAACCUCUGUAGUGAGAGAAAAAAAUCCCAAUCUUUGGGACAUGAUGGUAUCUCAAAAGUAAGCCCCGGCUAACUACGUG